rnacentral:rRNA from 1 species
GAUGAACGCUGGCGGCGUGCCUAAUACAUGCAAGUCGAGCGAACAGACGAGGAGCUUGCUCCUCUGACGUUAGCGGCGGACGGGUGAGUAACACGUGGAUAACCUACCUAUAAGACUGGGAUAACUUCGGGAAACCGGAGCUAAUACCGGAUAAUAUAUUGAACCGCAUGGUUCAAUAGUGAAAGACGGUUUUGCUGUCACUUAUAGAUGGAUCCGCGCCGCAUUAGCUAGUUGGUAAGGUAACGGCUUACCAAGGCAACGAUGCGUAGCCGACCUGAGAGGGUGAUCCGCCCCCCUGGAACUGGGACACGGUCCAGCCUCCUACGGGGGGCCGCCGUAGGGAAUCUUCCGCAAUGGGCGAAAGCCUGACGGAGCCACGCCGCGUGAGUGAUGAAGGUCUUCGGAUCGUAAAACUCUUUUAUUAGGGAAAAACAAAUGUGUAAGUAACUAUGCACGUCUUGACGGUACCUAAUCAAAAAGCCCCGGCUAACUACGU